rnacentral:rRNA from 1 species
UGCGUAGGUGGCAGUGCAAGUCAGAUGUGAAAGGCCGGGGCUCAACCCCGGAGCUGCAUUUGAAACUGCAUAGCUGGAGUACAGGAGAGGCAGGCGGAAUUCCUAGUGUAGCGGUGAAAUGCGUAGAUAUUAGGAGGAACACCAGUGGCGAAGGCGGCCUGCUGGACUGUUACUGACGCUGAGACACGAAAGCGUGGGGAGCAAACA